GACGUAGGGCGCGAGCGUUGUCCGGAUUUAUUGGGCGUAAAGAGCUCGUAGGCGGCUUGUCGCGUCGUCCGUGAAAACCUGCGGCUCAACUGCAGGCUGGCAGUCGAUACGGGCAGGCUAGAGUUCGGUAGGGGAGACUGGAAUUCCUGGUGUAGCGGUGAAAUGCGCAGAUAUCAGGAGGAACACCGGUGGCGAAGGCGGGUCUCUGGGCCGAUACUGACGCUGAGGAGCGAAAGCGUGGGGAGCGAACAGG
rnacentral:rRNA from 1 species